rnacentral:rRNA from 1 species
GACGAACCGUGCGAACGUUGUUCGGAAUCACUGGGCUUAAAGGGCGCGUAGGCGGGUUAGCAAGUCCGGGGUGAAAUCUUUCGGCUCAACCGGAAAAGUGCCUUGGAUACUGCUGACCUGGAGUGAGGUAGGGGCCGCGGGAACUUCCGGUGGAGCGGUGAAAUGCGUUGAUAUCGGAAGGAACGCCGGUGGCGAAAGCGCGCGGCUGGCCCUCAACUGACGCUGAGGCGCGAAAGCUAGGGGAGCAAACGGG